UACGAAGGGUGCUAGCGUUGUUCGGAAUCACUGGGCGUAAAGCGCGCGUAGGCGGCGACACAAGUCAGAGGUGAAAUCCCAGAGCUUAACUCUGGAACUGCCUUUGAAACUGUGUUGCUAGAGUACUGGAGGGGAGUGGGGAAUUCCUAAUGUAGAGGUGAAAUUCGUAGAUAUUAGGAGGAACACCGGUGGCGAAGGCGCCACUCUGGACAGUAACUGACGCUGAGGCGCGAAAGCGUGGGGGAUCAAACAGG
rnacentral:rRNA from 1 species